ensembl:lncRNA
AAAAUGUGUUACAGAAAUCAUCAAAUUUUGUUCUCAAUUGCAUUGUAAUCAAAUCUUUAUGCCAUUUUAAGUCUUUUGUCAUUUACAACCAAUUAUUGUUUCCUCUGAUGCUUUUGCAAAUGUUUCAUCUUCAGAGAGAUUCAUGGAAAGGACUAUGACAAUCUAGAAAAAACAGAUUUCUGAUAAACUUUUAGAUCAUAAAACUGAAUUGGGCAAGAAAUUAUAGAACUCCAACAGUGAAAUUGAUGGCUUCAGAAAACUGCUAACAAAAGAUCAAGGUGAAGAAUCAAUUACCUGGGACUGAAUGAACUGAUCAGGAUGAUUAUAACUUUUGUGACUUUUUGUGUAAAAUAUUGCUGGUUCUUUUAAUAUUUUGUUUUUCCAGAUUUAACAAAACUUUCUUCUCUUUUCUCUUAAGCUAACUGUGACUUAUAGCAAUUUGGUAAAUUAUACUUUUUAAGCAGAAUUGAAACAUUACCUUUUUCUCCCUACCUGAUCCCUCCAGUAUUUGGAAACUCUUAGUGAAUGAGUAGUCUUAUUUUCAUGGCACUAUAGUUGCUUGCAUAAGUUCAGUAAGAAUCUGUUCUCCUUAUAGGAGGACACAAUUGGAAACAUUGGUUAUAUUACCAAGGCUUUGACUGGAAGGUCAUAUUUGAGAGAGACAUGCAUAGAUUCAGAUAUGACCAGACAGCUUGAAGGAACAAAGGUUGACUUUAUGGAAAAAAUAAAGCCACUUGGAAGUAUCAGCCUGGUACCUUGCUUACAGGGUUCCCAGCAAACUUGCCAAGUGAGUAAGGAAGGUCACUUCCUGGCAGGUGCAAGAACCUCAGGAUAUUUUGGGGACCUCAAGAAGAGAGGAAUUCACCAAAAUCUAUAGGUAUUGGUAUUGCAGGCAGAGUCUGAUGACAAGUCCUUGGCUUGGCUUUCCUGCCCAUGAGAGGCCUUUAAAGUUCAAUCUGAGGUUCCUUAUAAAAAAUUCCAGCAAAGCAGAUUUAAAAGAAACUAUAUGAUCAAUUGCUAUUCUUGCUGUACUUAUGAAAAUAAUUGAGCCAAAUUUAUUGAAACUAGACUUAUUUUGCAAGCCAAUUAAUCUUAAUUUGGCUAUAUUUAGUAAAAAUGAGGUUGAUUUUAGAGAGAAAAAUUAAGUUUCAGUAGAAACUAUAAUACAUACUUGUGGAUAUUAGAUUCUAGUUCUGUUAAUUAUCUUUGAGGGGUAUUUAUAUCUGUAAAUUGGACUUGAUCCUGACUUCUUCUAGUUUACUGAACUAUCUAAGGACAAAUCUCCAAAAUAAUGUUUUCCAUUUUUUUCUAUCCUUUGCAUUUGGAAUCAUUGAGAAAUGAAACCAUUCUGUUUCCUGAAGCCCUGCAAAUGGAACUGAACAACUUGAUAUAAACUUAAGAGAGAUCACCACAAUAGCCCAUGUUUGGACAAUCUUCAUGACUGUUGCUGUGUUUACCAAAACCCGUACAAAUUCAUGUUAUCUCUGUUACAAAAUUUGGCAGCACAAAAUUGACGCAUGACAGUCUGCAGUCUCAUGAAGUUUUUCUAGAGUGGGCCUAUGGAGGACUUGAGUCUACUUCAGAGUGAAUCUGAGAGGUGUUCUGUUUCCAGAAUGAACUAGAAUGCCUGAAUUUGAC